rnacentral:rRNA from 1 species
CGCUUGAGCGUCGAACCUAUACCCGACCGUCGCAGCAAUACGAGCACCCCGGGCGCCAUGCUGCGACGAGUAGGAGGGCCGCCGCGGUGGCAUCGAAGCCUGGAGCGCGAGCUUGGGUGGAGCCGCCGCGGGUGCAGAUCUUGGUGGUAGUAGCAAAUAUUCA